rnacentral:tRNA from 1 species
GGCCGUUGGUCAAGUGGUUAAGACACGCCUUUCACGCGGUAUCAUGGGUUCAAAUCCGUACGGGUCA